rnacentral:rRNA from 1 species
GAUGAACGCUAGCUACAGGCUUAACACAUGCAAGUCGAGGGGAAACGGCGUUAAGUGCUUGCACUUUUUGGACGUCGACCGGCGCACGGGUGAGUAACGCGUAUCCAACCUUCCCAUGACUAAGGGAUAACCUGCCGAAAGGCAGACUAAUACCUUAUGGUCUUCACUGACGGCAUCAGAUGUGAAGUAAAGAUUUAUCGGUUAUGGAUGGGGAUGCGUCUGAUUAGCUUGUUGGCGGGGUAACGGCCCACCAAGGCAACGAUCAGUAGGGGUUCUGAGAGGAAGGUCCCCCACAUUGGAACUGAGACACGGUCCAAACUCCUACGGGAGGCAGCAGUGAGGAAUAUUGGUCAAUGGGCGAGAGCCUGAACCAGCCAAGUAGCGUGCAGGAUGACGGCCCUAUGGGUUGUAAACUGCUUUUGUAUGGGGAUAAAGUCAAUCACGUGUGAUUGUUUGCAGGUACCAUACGAAUAAGGACCGGCUAAUUCCGUGCCAGCAGCCGCGGUAAUACGGAAGGUCCGGGCGUUAUCCGGAUUUAUUGGGUUUAAAGGGAGCGUAGGCUGGAGAUUAAGUGUGUUGUGAAAUGUAGACGCUCAACGUCUGACUUGCAGCGCAUACUGGUUUCCUUGAGUACGCACAACGUUGGCGGAAUUCGUCGUGUAGCGGUGAAAUGCUUAGAUAUGACGAAGAACUCCGAUUGCGAACGCAGCUGACGGGAGCGCAACUGACGCUGAAGCUCGAGGUGCGGGUAUCGAACAGG